UACGUAGGUCGCAAGCGUUGUCCGGAUUUACUGGGCGUAAAGAGCGCGCAGGCGGCUGGUCAAGUCCGAUGUGAAAUCUCCCGGCUCAACUGGGAAACUGCAUCGGAAACUGAUCGGCUUGAAGAUGGGAGAGGGUAGUGGAAUUCCCGGUGUAGUGGUGAAAUGCGUAGAUAUCGGAAGGAACAUCAGUGGCGAAGGCGACUUCCUGGACCAAUACUGACGCUCAGGUGCGAAAGCGUGGGGAGCGAACAGG
rnacentral:rRNA from 1 species